rnacentral:lncRNA from 13 species
GGUUUAGUUUAAGUGUAAUUAACGACCUGUCCUUUAAUCACUGUAUAUUCCUCCCUUUUUAAUCAAGUUGUUUUCCCGCUCCGACAUCCGUCUCGAAUCCUUUUCUGCCCUUCAUGACGAUAUUAACUCUCUCUGUUAGCUCCACUUCCCUCCAUGAUGAUGUUAGCUCCACUCUCCACUUCCCUCCAUGAUGAUGUUAACUCUCUCUGUUAGCUCCACUUCCCUCCAUGAUGAUGUUAACUCUCUCUGUUAGCUCCACUUCCCUCCAUGAUGAUGUUAACUCUCUCUGUUAGCUCCACUUCCCUCCAUGNNNNNNNNNNAAUAUAGUAUAUGCAUAUGAUUAGUAUGUGUGGAUAGAAAACACUCUGACGUUUCUAAAACUGGUUAAAUCACGGCUGUGACUAUAACAGAUUGUGUGUUUCAUCAAAAAGCGCGAGAAAAACUGGUCACUGAAAGCUAAAAAUAAUAUCCAUGCGUCACUUUGAUGGAUUAUUAAAAGGGCUCGAAAUAAGUUAUGGACCUGCAUGCAAUUCCUACAACUUGUGUUUGGCCAUUACUCUGUUCUUGGAAUAAAGAUCCACGUUUUGAACUACCCUGCUCUCUGCGCCUGACUCCUCCACCCAGAAGAUCCACGUUUUGAACUACCCUGCUCUCUGCGCCUGACUCCUCCACCCAGAAGAAUCACGUUUUGAACCCUGCUCUCUGCCUGACUCCUCCACCCAGAAGAUCCACGUUUUGAACAAUGCUCUCUGCGCC